AAAAAAUUAGUUAAAAUAAUAACAUUAAUUUGUCAAAUUAAAAUUAUAAUCCAAAUAUUUUUUA
rnacentral:tRNA from 2 species